rnacentral:rRNA from 1 species
GGGUUGUGAGGUUAAGCGACUAAGCGUACACGGUGGAUGCCCUGGCAGUCAGAGGCGAUGAAGGACGUGCUAAUCUGCGAUAAGCGUCGGUAAGGUGAUAUGAACCGUUAUAACCGGCGAUUUCCGAAUGGGGAAACCCAGUGUGAUUCGUCACACUAUCAUUAACUGAAUCCAUAGGUUAAUGAGGCGAACCGGGGGAACUGAAACAUCUAAGUACCCCGAGGAAAAGAAAUCAACCGAGAUUCCCCCAGUAGCGGCGAGCGAACGGGGAGGAGCCCAGAGCCU